UUGAGGGCAGACAAAGACUGAAGUAUUCAUUAAAAAUGCUAAGACCAACAACAAGGGCACUGUUUUGUGCCUUUCUCUGUUUUAUGACUGUCUCCAAAGAACUAGAUGAAAUUACUUCUUAAUUAUACUUACUCAGUAUAUGUAAUAAGCUAUGACAUUUGCACUCCCAGUGAAGAGGACAAGAAAAGAGACAUUCAAGAAACCAUUAACAACAAGGGGGAUGAUUUAUACCAUAUUACCUUAUUUUAGGGCCCCAAAUAUUAAAAAAACUGGCUGAAAUUGAUUAAACUAAUUGUGUGUCUGUAAUAAGAAGAUAAUUUUGCCUUCAGAGGGCCUCUAUACAUUUUCUUCUGUUGCCUAAGCACAUAUGCAGAACAAAAUUGCUCUAUGAGCAGAAAAUUCUAUUACUGCCAUUGGUGUUUGUGUUGCGUGUUUGCAGCAGCUGAUGAUCUUACAUCUCUAAUAUUAAAAUACUCUUUGGGCUUACCCGGGGAAUUACAACAUAAUCAAUUAAAACUGAGCUAAUAUCGCAAAACCUGCAUUCGGUUAGAUAAAAUAAAGUAUAAAUUCUUUUUAUUAGGUGCAAUCUCUUUUUGAAUAGCAAUUUGUUUUAGCAAUUACUAAAUUGCUUGCAAAGGUGUUCACUAAAGUGAGGGUGUCAUGAUUCACUCUUGGAAUAUGUGUUUCUGUAGUAUUAAUGGAAUCUGUGCCCCUGGUAUUUUUGAAGGUUUUUGUGUGGAUUUGGGGAGUUGUCUUUUCAGGGACAGAUAUAUCUACGUUAUCACACGACGGGUGACCAAACGCAAGACAAAUAGCAAAGAACUGAAUUAAGAGCCAGAUCUGACUGUGGUAAGCACUGUUUAACAUGCAGAUACAUUCUGUUGUGUCUUUUGCUCUUUACAUUACAAACCAAACUGAAGAAAUCAUGGGAUGUGGUUUUGUUCCAAGAAACAAUGUUUACCAAAUAUACACAAAUAUGCCAGCUCUAGUUGACUCCAAACUGCUGUUCUGACUGGUUCUACAACAGACAACACAGUGAGUUUCACCAGGUUUCUCACAAGCUAUUUAAAAGGAUACUGGCAUAUUUAAAUAUAUUGCAGAGCCCCUACACCUCAGAUCUUAGUCUAAAUGGGUAAGACAAGGAAAAAGGUGGGAGGAGUAGACACACAGGGCAUUUGUACACAUGCAUGCGAUAGAGCACCAGGCGCUUUUAAAAGCGUCCGGCGCUGCAUCGCAUGCAUUUGUAUAAACAGUGAAAUGUACCUCAGUGGUGAGAAAAUGGCAGCGGUGAGCUUUUGACCUAAGACACAUUGAAAGUGGUUUAGUUCAAAGGCAUACCGACACCAUUUUCUCAGUGCUGACUCGCAUUUCAACAUUUAUGCAAAUGUGUGAGGCCGGGCAUCCCAGUUCGCAUGUUCCACAGACUCAGUUAAUCGAGUCUGCUCUGAGGAGCUUGAUUUCUGGUGCAUCAGAGCAGACAAAGGUAUGUGUAUAAAUGCCCACAGUAUAUAUCUGUGCUGCUGUGACUGUAACUCAUGUAGAAAUACCUGAGUUAGGUGUAAACUCACUGUCUCGGGUACUACUAGUAGUGCCAGUGCACUACUCAGUACAGAAUGAAAAACCCAUCUGAGAACUUGGACACAGAGCCUGCCGUGGGGUCUGUACUACCUUGUUAGCUGUACCUAAGUCAGGUAGUUUAAGUCUGGGCACAUCUACACAUGCAAUUAAUUUGAAGCAGUAAACUGGUGCAUAUUGCACUACAGUAUUGCUCUCAGGUGCCAUGUUUGCAUGUGUGCUCAGGGUCAUCGUGUGCUGAGCUGGGUCAGAGCAGCCAUGGCUGGCUGGGGCCCCAGGGGUCAGCCUGUCAGCCCAGGGCUGCUCCAAUCUGACUCAACGUGAUGAGGAGGUGCUGCCUGGGCCACAAGAGUGCUUCAAUGUGGGGCUAGCCAGCAGGCAGCCCCCGCACUGAAGCACCCUUGUGCCCCAGCCAGCCGUAUCUGCAUCUACACGUGCGUUGCUGCACAGUAAAUAACUCCACCAUAGGACAGGACUUGUAUUUGCAAGUACUACAGCGGAGUUUAUUAGUUUAUUGUGGCCUGAUUGGGCCAAACAUGUAGACACAGAGACUUUACUGUGGAGCUAAUUAGGUAGCUCUACAGUAAAUGUCUCAUGUAGAUAUGCCCUCUGUUAGGUAUAUCUACAUAACACACAGUGAGGCAAACCUGGGUGACAAAACACAGCAGGUCAGUGAUGGCUACAGGACUAGAACCCAGGUUUCUUAAAAAUCAGGCUAGCCUUUCUUCCAUUAAAGAAUGCUUUCUUGUUGUUAAUUUGUGUAUUAAAACCCAGCCUAUUUCACUAGUACUCUUCAGAAAUUGGUUAAUAGGUGACUGGUUAGGCAGACAGGGAGGUUGGUCUUUACUAGCUAGUCACUAGUAGUCAGCAAUUUUCCUUAGGAGACCAAAAGCCAUUUUCUCAGAAUCUUUUAUUUCAGAAGUAUAUCUUGGUAUGAGAGGUAGUUCCCGUUAGAAUUGUUCUGUUACAUACUUUUCUUAGAUUGCAGACUAUUUUGGCAAAGGAUUAAAACUUGCAACUGAAUUACCCUUAAGAAAUGCCUUUUAUUGUGUAAUGACUUCAAGAAUGUAAUUCCCCCCUCCCCUCCAAGAUCCAUUUGUUAAUCAGUUAGGAAAUAUUACAUGUUAAUUUGUAACAUACCAGCAACCAAGAUUUCUAACUAUGAAGACCUGAUUUAUCCAAGGCUGUUUUGAGACAAUGAGCCUACACCCACAAGCUCGUGAUUUGAGGCAAAACUCCUAUUGAUGGCAAUAGAAGUUUUUACCUGAGAGGAGGCUGCAGAAAUGGGGCCUUUAUAAUAUUUAUUUGUAUUCCACUGACACCAGGCUUGACAGAUGGGCCGAAAGCACUGCAGACGUUUGAACAAGGAAAUAGAGAGGGAGCCUGCUGGAAGCAGGGCUUCACGCAGCCAGCCGCGAAUGAUGAAUAGAGUGUGAUUGUGUCUGACAGGUAGUAAUAUAACUAUUCAUUCACCACAGAACACCUGGAGCACACUAUAUUAAAUGGUACAAGAUGGAGAGAUUCUGUGACAGGAAUAGGAAGUGUGAAUCCCACGCUGAGUUUAGGUACAGCAAUAUAAAAGGUCAAAGGGCGUGCAACAUAAACUGCCUCAGAGAAGACUGUAAUUAAAUUAUUUGCUUACCAAAGUGUUUCUAAUGUUUUGCUAACAUGUUGCCAGGAUCAUUAUUUCAGCAUGUCUGUACAGCUGAAAUGAGCUCAGCAAAUGCCUCUUUGCUAACUACUCCUAUUCCAUUUUACAUUUGGAGGCUCACUAAUCAUAGUGUCAUCGUUACUGUACAAAGCUAUGUCACUGAGCAGAAGCCGAGAGGGGCCGAAAUCCCUAAUGUCAUUAUAGGGCUAAAAUCAGUGUACUGGUUUUUGUCUAAUAUUUCUGAAGCUUUUAGCUGAUCAUUUAUUAAGGCUUUCUGGGCCAGAAUCUGCACUGGCAUAAUGUCCAUUGAAGAGUCAAUGGGUAUUGUUCUCAGGGGAGCAUCUUUCUCUGUAGCGCUGUUAACCAUAGCUGUUAUAGUUUAGCUUUUUUUCUGUACUAUACCCUUACAUUUCUAGAAAUUUGCUCAAUGUUGGAGGAACUGGAUGUUUUGCACAGCCUUUUGCAUGAGAUGCAUUUUUGAACUGGAGAAACUUUGUUUGUUCACCCUCAUUUUGUUAUUUUCUCUAAAUCUAAAAUAAAAAUGUCAUUCACAUUAAAAAGGUAUAACCAUUCCUUACAUAAAGGAGAAAAACCCAUAACUCACAAAUAGAAUUUCAUGUUAACAAGAGACCUGCGUGACCAUGAGCAUAAUUUGCUAGACACUGUUCAGGUGCAGAGUUGGAAACCUUAAAGACACUUAAAAAAAAAUAUUCCUUUACAUAAAACUUUUCAGUUCACCUUGACAUUGAUAAACUAUUUAGUAGUUAAACAUUAAUGUAUGGGAGUAUUUAUUUCUGAGAAAGGCAGAAUAAAGUAAGUCUUGCUAAUACUCAUGGAAAUGCAUAUUUCUGUGAAGGUUUUACCCAAAGUGUACAUGUUAGUGUCAAUAGCAUAACUAACAUUCCUAAAAGUUUAUUUUUGACUUGUAUCUAAUUAUUUAGUAGUCCUAAAAAUGUCAUCGCAAGAUGGUCAAGAUUUGGCUGUUGAAAUCAUGGACACUUAAGGAAUAUAUCUACAGUGGGAUCUUGUUGCAAAAAAAGCCAACAGUAUUCUGGAUUGUGAUAACAGGAGUGUCAUUUGCAAAUCAAAGGAAGCGAUUCUUCCUCUCUGUUCAGCACUACUGAGGCCUCACAUGAAGUACUGUGUACAGUUUGGGGUCCUAUACUUCACAAAAGGAUGUGGACAAUUUGGAAAGAGUCCGGCACAGAACAACAAAAAUGAUUAGGGGCCUGAGAGGCAAAACUUACAUGGAAAAGCUGCAAGAACUAGGGUUAUUUAGCCUGAAGAAGGGAAGAUAGGGAAGGGAGGACUUGAUAAGUGGUCAAAUAUCUGCAGGGCAGUUAUAGAGAAAAUGGAGAUGGGCUUUUGUCUGUGGCCAUAGGGGACAGGACUAGGAGCAAUGGCUUCAAGCUUCAGGAGGGCAAAUUUAUGUUGGUGAUUAGGAAAAACUGAUUAUGAGGGUGGUCAAGCUUUGAACCAGGCUACCUAGAGAACUUGUGAAAUCUCCAUCUUGGAAGUUUUCAAGAGCAGGUUAGACAGACACUUGGUUGGGACGGUAUAGUUGGGAACAAUGCUACUUUGAGCUGGGAGUUGGAGUAGAUGACCUUGUAAGAUCCUUUCCAUGCCUACUUUUCUAUGAUCCUAUAUAAUUACCACUUUUGCAUAUGUAAAUGAAGGCUUUAUAUAAAUGUAAGCAGUGGAGCAAAAGGAAAACAUAUGAGUCAAGAAUUUGUCCUGGGACAAAUUAAAUUAGCUCAAUAGCGUUGUAACCCAUAACAACAUUUUCAUCAGUGCUGAUGUUGGAGCCGGCAGAUCUCACAUUAAUACACUUUAAAUAGAGUUGGUUGAAAAUUUUUGCAUGGAACAGUUUUCUGAUAGAAAAUGCAAUUUUGUCAAAAUUAAAUGUUUCAGGGAAUAUGUUGAUUUUGAUGAGGGUGUUUUUUUUUACUAGAAAAGUCAAAAUGAAUCAUUCUGAGUUUUGUGUUUUUAAUGUCAGAACAUUUCCUUUAGAUAAGAUAAAAUGUUUCACUUAGAGCUUUUGUUUUCAAUUAAAUUUAUAUGGACUUUAUGGACUUGUAUAUUAAAGAUAUAAUAUUUUAAUGUGAUAUCAAUGUUAUAUCUAAUAAUUAUAUUACUUCAGAAUUAUAGACAUUUUACCUUAACCAAAGUAAAUGUGUUGACAUCAACUAAAUAAAUUGUUUGAACAUUGAAAAAUAAAAUUUCAGUGGUUCUAAACAA